rnacentral:rRNA from 1 species
UGGGGAAUAUUGGACAAUGGGCGCAAGCCUGAUCCAGCCAUGCCGCGUGAGUGAUGAAGGCCCUAGGGUUGUAAAGCUCUUUCACCGGUGAAGAUAAUGACGGUAACCGGAGAAGAAGCCCCGGCUAACUCCGUGCCAGCAGCCGCGGUAAUACGAAGGGGGCUAGCGUUGUUCGGAUUUACUGGGCGUAAAGCGCACGUAGGCGGACUUUUAAGUCAGGGGUGAAAUCCCGGGGCUCAACCCCGGAACUGCCUUUGAUACUGGAAGUCUGGAGUAUGGUAGAGGUGAGUGGAAUUCCGGGUGUAGAGGUGAAAUUCGUAGAUAUUCGGAGGAACACCAGUGGCGAAGGCGGCUCACUGGCUCGCUACUGACGUUGAGGUGCGAAAGCGUGGGGAGCAAACAGG